rnacentral:rRNA from 1 species
UACGUAGGGUGCGAGCGUUUGUCCGGAUUUAUUGGGCGUAAAGAGCUCGUAGGCGGCUUGUCGCGUCGGAUGUGAAAGCCCGGGGCUUAACUCCGGGUCUGCAUUCGAUACGGGCAGGCUAGAGUGUGGUAGGGGAGAUCGGAAUUCCCGGUGUAGCGGUGAAAUGCGCAGAUAUCGGGAAGAACACCCGUGGCGAAGGCGGCUCUCUGGGACGGUACUGACGCUGAGAGGCGAAAGCGUGGGGAGCGAACAGGA